rnacentral:rRNA from 1 species
UACGGAGGGGGCUAGCGUUGUUCGGAAUUACUGGGCGUAAAGCGCACGUAGGCGGCUUGGUAAGUUGGGGGUGAAAUCCCAGGGCUCAACCCUGGAACUGCCUUCAAAACUCCCAGUCUGGAGGUCGAGAGAGGUGAGUGGAAUUCCGAGUGUAGAGGUGAAAUUCGUAGAUAUUCGGAGGAACACCAGUGGCGAAGGCGGCUCACUGGCGCGAUACUGACGCUGAGGUGCGAAAGCGUGGGGAGCAAACAGG